AUAAAGGUAUAUUAAUUAUCUUUCAAAAUUCAUUUUUAUGACAUUUGGGGCAGUCUAUAAGCUUAAUGCUGCUUAUAUAUUGUUCAAACUCAGCCAGAAGUCCGUGUAAAUUUCUUUGCAAUACUCUGCAUUUAUGAAUAUGGAAGGCUGAUAAUGUAUUCAAUGGUCUCU